CGCAGUCGGCUGUAUUUGGAGGUCGUCGGUGGUUCUGCUGCUGGCUGCUGCGUGGUGGUUUCAACCGCUGCCGACGUCGGCGAGUUGAUAAUCCGCCGGCGGACACUCAACACCGGUCGCCGCGAAACGCUGCCAGUCGUUGGUUGUCGCAGCUGCCAGUCGGUAGUCAAAAGUGGUUCGUUCGCGGUACAUGGAAUUAUAUUGAAAACAAACACUGAAUUUAGCAUUUUGUGUAUUUUAAGAUACAUAUUAAACGUUUUUUUGCAACUCGCUGUUUUGGUGUUUCGUAUUUUUGUUUUCGUGCCUUUUCCGGCGGUGUGCAGUCAACAACAAUUCAAAAGCGCGCUACAUGCUAUAAACAAUAAUAAUAAUCAUAUUGAAAAUAUUAAAGUAUUGGUUAAGCAUAAGAAAUCUACUAAAGCCUUAAAUAAAUUAGUACUGUUUGGCGCUUGUUGUGUAUUGUGUUUUACUGUGGGCAUUUGGGCAUUGGGCAGUGGGAAGUUGGGCUUUUCGAAUUGAAAGGAAUGGAAAGGAAAGGAAACCCUUCGAAAGGUGCUUUCUCUCGCCAUCUCGGCAAGAUCAAGUUGACCGCUAAGUGGGCCAACAACCGCAAAAAUGCAGUCAGGCAUUUUAAUUGAAGGACGUUCGAGUGCAAAAUAAAUAACACGCAGGCAUAACAAGUUAUUUGCCUGGCUAUUAGUUUGCGCUAGUUUUGCUUUGUCCACCAAUCUCGUUGACAUUGAAAGCAAUACAGAGCACAGCGUAGAGUGGAAAUUGCUGUAAUUAUGCCAAAUUGAACUUUAUAAAUGUAAUGGAAAACAACCAGUAAACAUAUAGAAUAAGCUAAACUGAUAUAUAGACUAUGCUACGAAUUAAAACCCUUCAGUAAUACCCUUGAAAAUAUUUAAAACUAUAUUUAAAAAAUUAUUUCCAACCUAGACCCUACAAAAAAAGAAAAAAAAGCGAGAGAGAGUUGCUGGCGAGAACAUUUUUGGUGUCAAUGUCGCAGACACCUUCGAGAUAAUGAAUGGGCCGGAAAAAUACGCAUCAGCCACGGUGCUUGCAUAAUGCUGAUGGGCUUCUUCGAUUAGCAGAUUCGCAAAUUGAAGCCUGCAUUGCUGCUUGGUAUCUUCGGACUUUGGCAAUGCGAUUCGACCGCAUGCCAAUGUGAUUGCAUAAUCUGAAUCCCCAACAUUCCCACUUGUUUUUAUUUUUUUUUCUCUGGCAGAUGCGCAGUUUGCUGGUUUUUUUGGUAUCCACAAACUGGUUGGGCUUUUGAUUAAAUAUUGUGCAAGAGAGUUGGUCAGCUCGAAGACUGAUGAUGCGUGCUGGGCGUCGUCCGCUGAUUUGCUGGCUUCUCAAUGGGUUUAUUGUGAAAGUGGCGAAACGAAAGACUCAAGACACGAACGCGACGGGGAAAGCACUGGCCGAGAAAAGGGUGCCGCUGUUCAAGGGCAAAUUGAAUAAAAGAAGAGAAGGGUUGCCAUUCAUAGCUAGUUGAAAAACCUUUAAAAAUACUAAGUACUGGCCUUUAAAAAUAUUGCCCAAAUUUUAAAAUUCGAAAAAAAAUAUAUAUAUAACAAUGUAAUGCCAUAUGCACCUAAUCUGUUUAUAAAAUUUGAGUUUGUUUGAAGUGGCAUUACAUUUCCACACCUAUAUGAUAUCAUUGGACCCGUUUCGUUAACCUCUUUGUCUGUGCAAACACUCCCUAUUAUUUAUUUUUUGUACGUACUCUUCAACAAAAUGAUGAUGACAAAAGCCUGUUACCCUGAGUGCAACACCUUUGAUCUUCUUUUAUGGUUUCUUUUUAUUGUCUGCGCUUUUGUUUGCUUUGUCCAACUUGGCUUUUUAUUAUUUUUAAAUGGGAUUUUUCAUUUCACGGGCACUUUGAAAGAGGAAAAAUCACCGAGCCCACUUCACACACAAAAAACAAAAAAAAAAAAAAACUGUUGAAAAAAUCGUUUACGACUUUUUGUCAACGUGAUUUUUUGGUGUCGCCUGUCAGUUCGUCGCGUUUGUUAUGCGGCGCGUGAUUUGACUUUUGGCAAUUAUCGUUCCGAGGAGACUAGCAAGCGAUUAUGAAACAUGUCUCGUCUGCAGAGUUCCUCUCUCUGUCUUUCUUUUUUUUUCAGCAAUUUGCAAAUUGUUUUAGCUGAACUCGUUUUUAUUUUCUGCCUUUUUAUUUCAAUUUUUUUUUUUUGCUCGCACAUCUUGCGGACUCAUCGAAAGUUGAAACCGAUUAUCCAGACAGGCUUGCAUACAGACACAGUGCAUGUGCACUUAUGAAUAGGCAUGAGGCAAUAGCCGCUUCAUACAAAACAACUAGAUAGAGCCAGGCUGACAUUUAACAAAGGCAAAAAAAGAAAUAUAAAAAACAGAUGAAAAAGAAGCUCGGGCUAAUGACUAAGCACAUAACGAGCAAUUCUACAAGUGACAUUUGAAAGAGCAUCGAAAGGCGGAUGGAGAGGGGCAAAUAAAUGCAUUUAUAAUUGCCUUGGACAUGCUGAAGAAUUUUUCCAUUCGACAAUCAUUUGCUGUAACCUUUGCAUUUCAAGCAAAAUUAGUUUUGUAAAUAAUCAAGUCAUGAAAUAUGUUCACGAUCUAAGAAACAAUCAGGAACUGCCUGGGAAUGGCAAUAUAAUAAAGAAAUUAAACUAUACCAAAGACUUUCUAACCAAAUCUGCGAAUAUGAAACUUGUAAAUGUACUGAAAACAAGAAAAUAUAUGUUUAUAAAAUAAAUGUUACACGAAUUAUAUACAAGAGUUUUCCAAUUUGAAAACCUACAUGUAUUAUAUAUACAUUUGCGGGGUGUUAAGGUGGGGGGAAGUUGUUUGUGUUCUGUUGUGGCAAUAAUAAUUUGUAUAGUUCGUUUCUUUUUGUUCAUUAUUUUAUUGUUGUGCAUAAAUAUUUUACAACUAAAGCUAGACUUAAAGUAUUUUCGGAUAGAGAGGGAAAGAGUGAAAAAAAUUAUUCGGAAGGAGAUAGAAGUAAAAGAGAACUGCGCCUGGUAAAAGCCAUUUAAAGUUAUUUCAAAUCGAUUAAGUUUGUAUCCACUGAGGGUCGUUGCGUUUCUAGAUAACUAUGUAUCUAUAAUUUUCUAGAAUAUCUGUAUUUGAACCAAGGAAAGACUUCUCUCGCAUCUGCAUGUGUGAACAAAUGUGUGUGAGUGUGGAUGUGAAUGUGUGGGUGUUGUUGUUUUGGGUAUGGCAGCUCGAAGAAUACGAAUUGUUUAAAUAAUUUACACAGC
ensembl:ncRNA asRNA:CR45185 antisense RNA:CR45185